rnacentral:ncRNA from 1 species
CCGGUCCUCGGUAGUGGUGUUCGGGCAUGACAGUCCCGUGCACUUCAAUCGAAGACCGG